rnacentral:rRNA from 1 species
CUGGCUCAGGACGAACGCUGGCGGCGUGCCUAAUACAUGCAAGUCGAGCGGAGUUUAUCGGGAGCUUGCUCCUGAUGAACUUAGCGGCGGACGGGUGAGUAACACGUAGGCAACCUGCCCGUAAGACUGGGAUAACUACCGGAAACGGUAGCUAAUACCGGAUACGCAAGUCUCUCGCAUGAGGGACUUGGGAAAGGCGGAGCAAUCUGUCACUUACGGAUGGGCCUGCGGCGCAUUAGCUAGUUGGUGGGGUAACGGCCUACCAAGGCGACGAUGCGUAGCCGACCUGAGAGGGUGAACGGCCACACUGGGACUG